rnacentral:rRNA from 1 species
UGCAUUAUUUGACGUUACCUACAGAAGAAGCACCGGCUAACUCCGUGCCAGCAGCCGCGGUAAUACGGGAGGGGUGCGAGCGUUAAUCGGAAUUACUGGGCGUAAAGCGCAUGCAGGCGGCCUGUUAAGUCAGAUGUGAAAGCCCCGGGGCUUAACCUCGGAAUUGCAUUUGAAACUGGCAGGCUAGAGUCUUGUAGAGGGGGGUAGAAUUUCAGGUGUAGCGGUGAAAUGCGUAGAGAUCUGAAGGAAUACCAGUGGCGAAGGCGGCCCCCUGGACAAAGACUGACGCUCAGAUGCGAAAGCGUGGGGAGCAAACAGGAUUAGAUACCCUGGUAG